ensembl:processed_transcript Six3os1 SIX homeobox 3, opposite strand 1
GCUGCCUCCCGAAGCCGACUCAAGGACUGGGGACUUGGUGGAUCUAUGGCAUUGGUACCCACAGAGGUCACCUGCACAGAUAAAUCUGUCGCCACCCUUCAACCCUGGCCUACCGGAUCUGCGGGGAGAAAUGCAGCAUUUGAAUUGGGGAGUGUUCAGUCCUGCUCUGCGGGGCAUUUAUUUACAAAUAUCAGCUGCAACCCAGCCUUGAUAACGUCUCAUACAGUCAGAGGACUUUGCGGGAAGCACACUUCCUCCUUGUUUGGGGCUACAGGGAAAGCCCAGGAAAGCGAGUCCCAGAAGGCCUGGGACAGCUACACCCAGUUCACCCAUGCUCAACCCGGAACAGCCGACCCAAACGGUCAGGAAGGACUUUCUGGAAGCCCAUCUUCGUAUGCUCACCAGCCCACCCUCCUACGCUGGUCAGAGUGAGAUUGCUAACCUCAAGACCCCAUUCAAUGCCAGCUUUCAACUACUGCUGAAGACCAAUGUAGGUCCUGGAAUAGAAGAACUGCAGAGUAUCCGGAGCUGGCCGACCCCAGACUGAUUCUCAACAGGUGGCUGGACACACACACACACACACACACACCAGGGUAGGGGAACAGGGAAGAUCUUACCUGCAGAAAGGUAAGAGAAGCCGGGAGCGUGUA